AUGAGUGUCAGGAAGUAUCCUCCACUCUCGUGUUGCUGGGUUGCACACAACAAAGCGACAAAUGCCUGGAGAGGUAUAGCUGCUCCUGUACUUACAGAGGACAAGACCAUUGCAGCAGUCAAGAAAUUCCAAAUGCUCAUACUGUGGCAUGUCAGAAAGAAUUCCAUCGAUUUCUCCAUCAUCUUGGGACAGGCUAACAAGCGGGAUUGCAGACUUAUUGUGGCCUUGGUACAAAAGGCCAGUGGUUACUUUUUUGGGCAGCUUCUUGCAGUAGUCUGGAUCAGCGGAGAAGGCGGACCAGGCCUUAUAGCACAUUUGCAGCGGCAGAAAGACUUGUACGUCAGCCGCGAGAGGAUAUCGACCACUAGAUCAUCGGUUAACCUAGCAGCAGUGACUUCCUUGUGA
rnacentral:rRNA from 1 species